CACGUAGGGUGCGAGCGUUGUCCGGAAUUAUUGGGCGUAAAGAGCUCGUAGGCGGUGUGUCGCGUCGGCCGUGAAAACCUGCAGCUUAACUGUGGGCUUGCGGUCGAUACGGGCAUCACUGGAGUUCGGCAGGGGAGACUGGAAUUCCUGGUGUAGCGGUGGAAUGCGCAGAUAUCGGGAGGAACACCGGUGGCGAAGGCGGGUCUCUGGGCCGAUAUUGACGCUGAGGAGCGAAAGCGUGGGGAGCGAACAGG
rnacentral:rRNA from 1 species